UUUUAACAAAACUCCCCGGGGAAAGUUGCAAAGAACUUUGAAGAGAGAGUUCAAGAGGACGUGAAACCGCUUAGAAGGAAACGGGUAGAGGAGCGAGUGGCUUGGCUGAUUCAGAUUGUCCGUUGUACGCGCGCUGGUAGUUGAUCGCAAGACUGACUGCUGGUGUUGCGAAUUUCGGACGACCGCACUUCGGCCGAGUAGCACUAGCGGCUGUGCGGACGUGGUGUUGACGGGUAUUGUGACGUGGCCGCUUCGGUGGUUUACAGCAAGCUCGUUCAGCACUUAUCGACCGUACAGUUUAGUUGAACGAACGCGAAUUGCGCUAUAGCGUCCGGGUUCUCUGCUCUGUUGGUGAGGUGCUCGCACCGAUCUGGCUUUGUGGGGUUCACGGGCGUGACUAUGCUUCCGUUUGCUCACGCUGGUGAACAAGUCUCCGACCUACCCGACCCGUCUUGAAACACGGACCAAGAAGUCUAACAUAUGCGCAAGUCGAAGGGUGCUUAAACCUGGAGGCGUAGUGAAAGCAAAGCUUAACGACACAUGAUGGUUCCGAAAGGGACUCGCAAUGUGGCCCCAUUCCAAUAGCUUGUCUAUGGAGUGGAGGUAGAGCGCAUACGUUAGGACCCGAAAGAUGGUGAACUAUGCCUGAGCAGGGCGAAGCCAGAGGAAACUCUGGUGGAGGCUCGAAACGGUUCUGACGUGCAAAUCGAUCGUCAGACUUGGGUAUAGGGGCGAAAGACUAAUCGAACCAUCUAGUAGUGUCUCUCUCUCUCCGAAA
rnacentral:rRNA from 1 species